GCACAAGACCUGAUGUUUCAGACCCACACGAGUUAUCUCGGACUCACCAACAUGUACAGUCCCCAUUAUCUCUGAAUGUAUACGCCCACUUGUGCGUGCGCAAUCUGAAGCGUUUCAAACAUGCGCAGUACCGGAGGCAAAGGAGAGCCGGAGGAAUCGGAUGAGGAGCAGGCGCGAUAAGGAUUUGAAAGGUGAAAAUUAGAAUUCGAAUCAAUGUCAGCAGAGGAAUUUGGCAGAGUUGAACCUCAGACCAAACUGUGAAAGAGUAACUCGAUUGAUGAGGAUCUGAAUAUUAUCAGCAUCUGAAUGUGGUAGCGUUCAGGAAGUUGGAGCAUUUGCAGUGAGUGAACUCAAAUCUCACUGCAGAUUCUAACGGAAAUGUUGAAUUCAUCAUGUCUUGACUUUCAUGAGGCUUUGAUCAUGGAAGCCAAAACCAGUGUUCGCACUGAGAAACCAUGGAAAUGUGAGGAAUGUGAGAAGGAAUUCAAAUAUCCAUCUUCCCUGGAAAGUCAUCAGUGUGGUCACACUGGAGAGAGACCGUUCACCAGCCCUGACUGCGGAAAGGGAUUCAUUUGAUCACCCAGUCUGCUGACACACCAGCAAGUUCAUAUAAGAGAGAGGCAGUUCAUCUGCUCUGUGUGCGAAAGGAUUCACUCACUCAUCCCAUCUGCUGACUCACCAGCACGUUCACACUGGGGAGAGACCUUUAAAAUAUCCACACUCUAGGAAUUGCGAGAAAAGUUCGAGAGAACUAAUAUCUCACAUUAGUGAGAAACCAUUCAGGUGCUCUCACUGUGCGACUCGGUUCAAGCGAUCAUCUAAACUCCCAAUACACCAGCGCAUUUACACUGGGGAGAGACAGUUCAUCUAUUCCAUAUGUAGGAAGCAUUUCACUCACUCAUCUGACCUGGUGAAACACCAGAAAGUUCAUUCUAAUGAGAGACCUUUUCAAUGUUCAGACUGCAGGAAAUGCUGUAAAUGUUCUGGAGAACUGAUGUCCCAUCAACAUGUUCACACUGUUGAGAGCCCAAUAAGAUACUCUCAUGAUGGGGCUGGGUACAGAUGAAUAUGUAACCUCGCUGUACACCAAUGCAGCCACACAGGGGAGAUACCAUUCACUUGCUUCAUGUGCAGGAAGAGAUUCGUCAGAUCAUUGUACCUGCUGAAACACGAGCAAGUUCAUUCUGGCCAGAGAAUGUGGGAAAUGGUAUAAAGAUUCUGAACAAUUAGCCCCGUGAACUUGUUCACAUUAUUGAAAUAACUUUGAAUGUUCAGAUUGCAGAAAAUGCUUUAAAAGUUCUCAACAAUUGAUGAUCCAUCAAUGUGUUGACACAGGUGAGAGACCAUUCCAGUGCUUUCACUUACAAACUGGGUUAAGGUGAUCAUUUCACCUCAUUGUAUGCCAGUGAUGUCAGACUGGAGAGAGGUUGUUUGCCUGCAUUGAAUGUGGGAAGGGAUUCACUCAAACACCCGACCCCCUGAAACAUGAGUGAAUUCACAAAUAACCACAGUGGUUGCAUUUUGCUAUGAGUUAUGUUCGGUAAUGAACACAUUUCAUUGUUGUCUGUUUCUACUGAUGUUAAAUUGACUUUCCUGAAAAUAUAGGUUUUUAUUUUCUGGAUAAGCGUCAAAUAAAUUAGCUUUGUAUUUAACACAAAACUUACAUUUUGUUUUCAAAUGUCCCAAGCACAAGUUAGUUUCUUUUGGCCUUCUUAACGAGAGGAUUCAGAUACAGGAGCAGGAACGUCCUUCUGUGAUUCCACAGGUCUCAGUGAGCCCAUAGCUGGAUUCUUGUGUGCAAUUUUGGUCUCAUUAUUCUUAUGGAAGAAUGCUUUGGCUGUGAAGGGAGUACAGUGAAGGUUGACCAGAAUGAUUCCUGUGAUGACAGGACUGACAUGUGAAGAAAGACUGGAUCAGUUAGGACUAUAUUCACUCGUGUUCAGAAGAGUGGCCUUUUAUAGAAACAAAAGAAUUCUGACAGGGCCACACAGGAUAAACACAGGAAGGCUGUUCUCAAUAAACAGGGUGUCCAGAACCAUGGGUCAGACUUUUAGGAUAUGGGCAUACAUGGGAGCAUAAAGAUGGGAUCCUAGUGUCUCUUUAACCUGUCAUCGACAAGCUAUUUAGGACUGAGAUAAGAAGAAAUUUCCUCACCUCUGGAAUUAUCUGCCACAGAAAGCACCUGAAGCCAAAACAUUGAAUGUAUUUAAGAAGGAUUUGGAUAUAAUCCUUGGGGUGAAAGGGAUCAGAGUAUGGAGAGAAAGCAGGAACAGAUGGAUGAUCAGCCAUGAUCAUGUUAAAUGGUAGAGCAGGCUUGAAUGACCAAACGGCCGACCUCUAUUUUCUUUGUCAAUGGUUAUUAUUUUCCCUAAUACUUUUUCUCUUCUGAUCAUUAUUAUGGUUCUUUCCUCCCCUUUUUGCUGCUGAACUACUUAAUUUUUUUGUAAUGUUGUAAGUGUUCCCUACUGUGAAGAUUGAUUAAAAUUAUUUGUUUAACUCCCCUGCUCUUUGCUGGCUCCCCAUUAUCACUUACAAACCUCAUUCUCUAAGGGGCCGAUGUUCACAGUUCUCUUCUCUUUUUAGCUUUUGAAACACUUCAUUGACCACAGUAUGUUUUCUCCUGUUAUGGUUAUUUCCUCCCCUUUUUGCUGCUUGGCUAUUUUUGUGUAUUUUAAAGUUGCAAGAAUGCCCUGAAUGUGAAUAUUAUUGAAAAGUAUUUGUUUAACUCUCCUGCCCUUUCCUAGCUCCUCAAUGUUACCCUUUACAAAGCUCAUUUUAUAAGGGGCUGACGCUCACAGUUCUGUCCUCUCUUUAUUUAUUGAAAUAAUUAAUCAACCACAAUACACAUUGUUCCUCCAUAAUCAUCUAUAAGGCCUUGUGUGGUGGCAUUGUGAGAGAGGCCGAGCCACAACAAUGUACAACAGUUCAAUAAUGUCUAACUGUAUGCAAAAAAGGCAAGUUUCAUCAAAGCUUUUUGUCUUGCACAUUUCGGUUCAUUCACAAUAAGCACCAAUGGAAAGGGAACAAACGUUUUAUACUGUCAUGACCUGACUGGGCGAAUAAUAGACUCUGAUUGGUCAAGGCAUUACUAGGAAAAUGCACCAGUUAGAUGAUGACCAAACUUUGUUUAAAUUUCAUGCAGACAGAUUGACUCUGAUUUUUCAAAGCAUCACUGGAGACCUGAACUAAAGAAGGGCUGGCCCCUGUCUGGUUGAGUUGAAGGAGGUGUUAUUACUAUUAAUUGGGCACUAUUAAUAUUUGAGCACUGUAAGCACAAACUGGUUGGCUGUGGCUAAUGCGUUAUCUGUUGUGAAGAGA